rnacentral:rRNA from 2 species
GAUACCCCUGUAGUCCUGGCCGUAAACGAUGAACACUAGGUGUCGGGGGAAUCGACCCCCUCGGUGUCGUAGCCAACGCGUUAAGUGUUCCGCCUGGGGAGUACGCACGCAAGUGUGAAACUCAAAGGAAUUGACGGGGGCCCGCACAAGCGGUGGAGUAUGUGGUUUAAUUCGAUGCAACGCGAAGAACCUUACCAGGGUUUGACAUCCUGCGAAUCCCUUGGAAGCGAGGGAGUGCCUUCGGGAACGCAGUGACAGGUGGUGCAUGGCUGUCGUCAGCUCGUGUCGUGAGAUGUUGGGUUAAGUCCCGCAACGAGCGCAACCCACGUCUUUAGUUGCCAGCAUUUAGUUGGGCACUCUAGAGAGACUGCCGGUGAUAAACCGGAGGAAGGUGUGGAUGACGUCAAGUCAUCAUGCCCCUUACAUCCUGGGCUACACACGUACUACAAUGCUACGGACAAAGGGCAGCAAACUCGCGAGAGCUAGCCAAUCCCAUAAACCGUGGCUCAGUUCAGAUCGUAGGCUGCAACUCGCCUACGUGAAGGAGGAAUCGCUAGUAAUCGCAGGUCAGCAUACUGCGGUGAAUACGUUCCCGGGCCUUGUACACACCGCCCGUCACACCAUGGAAGUUGGCCACGCCCGAAGUCGUUACUCCAACCCUUGUGGAGGAGGAUGCCGAAGGUGGGGCUGAUGACUGGGGUGAAGUCGUAACAAGGUAGCCGUACCGGAAGGUGC